rnacentral:lncRNA from 1 species
GGCAAAGUAUUACAUCAAAAUUUAAUUUGAACAUUCAAGAUAUUGGUUUCUCAAAAAUCAUAGUGUAAAAUAACCAUUUUUACUACGGUUUCAAAAACCGUUUCUCAUAGCCACAAUUUGAUUUACAAUUUUCCCAAAAAUAUCAAUAUUUUCAAAAACAUUGUUUGGCUUAGAGAUUAAAUUAUCAUUUUCAAACGCAUAAAGCAUUGAUCAACCCUAAACUUGAAACUCCACGUUCACCGCACCAAUUUGUU